rnacentral:rRNA from 1 species
ACUCAAAUGAAUAGACGGGGACCCGCACAAGCGGUGGAACAUGUGGUUCAAUUCGAUGCUACGCGAAAAACCUCACCAAGGCUUGACAUACAGGAAGUAGUGAACCGAAAGGGGAACGACCUGUCAAAUCAGGAGCCUGAACAGGUGCUGCAUGGCUGUCGUCAGCUCGUGUCGUGAGAUGUUGGGUUAAGUCCCGCAACGAGCGCAACCAUUAUCUUUAGUUGCAACCAUUUUUGACCUUCGGGUUAAAAGUGAGCACUCUAAAGAGACUGCCUGGGUUAACCAGGAGGAAGGUGGAGAUGACGUCAAGUCAGUACGGCCUUUAUGCCUUGGGCUACACACGUGUUACAAUGGUCAGUACAAAGGGUUGCCAACCCGUAAGGGGGAGCUAAUCUCAAAAAACUGACCCCAGUUCGGAUUGAAGUCUGCAAUUCGACUUCAUGAAGCCGGAAUCGCUAGUAAUGGUAGAUCAGCACGCUACCGUGAAUACGUUCCCGGGUCUUGUACACACCGCCCGU